rnacentral:rRNA from 1 species
UCUUCGGAGACUUGAGAGCGGCGCACGGGUGCGGAACACGUGUGCAACCUGCCUUUAUCUGGGGGAUAGCCUUUCGAAAGGAAGAUUAAUACCCCAUAAUAUACUGGAUGGCAUCAUCUGGUAUUGAAAACUCCGGUGGAUAGAGAUGGGCACGCGCAAGAUUAGAUAGUUGGUGAGGUAACGGCUCACCAAGUCAGCGAUCUUUAGGGGGCCUGAGAGGGUGAUCCCCCACACUGGUACUGAGACACGGACCAGACUCCUACGGGAGGCAGCAGUGAGGAAUAUUGGACAAUGGGUGAGAGCCUGAUCCAGCCAUCCCGCGUGAAGGACGACGGCCCUAUGGGUUGUAAACUUCUUUUGUAUAGGGAUAAACCUAGAUACGUGUAUCUAGCUGAAGGUACUAUACGAAUAAGCACCGGCUAACUCCGUGCCAGCAGCCGCGGUAAUACGGAGGGUGCAAGCGUUAUCCGGAUUUAUUGGGUUUAAAGGGUCCGUAGGCGGAUCUGUAAGUCAGUGGUGAAAUCUCACAGCUUAACUGUGAAACUGCCAUUGAUACUGCAGGUCUUGAGUGUUGUUGAAGUAGCUGGAAUAAGUAGUGUAGCGGUGAAAUGCAUAGAUAUUACUUAGAACACCAAUUGCGAAGGCAGGUUACUAAGCAACAACUGACGCUGAUGGACGAAAGCGUGGGGAGCGAACAGGAUUAGA